rnacentral:lncRNA from 10 species
GCUUCUCCCCGACCCACCCCAACCACAAGUGCCCUUGCCCCCUUGACAGUGGCAGAAAAUAGGUCAUUCCCGUAGUAGGGAUAUUAGAGAUGUCACAGAGGGUUGUGUUGGCCUAUGAGGGGCAAAAAGGCAGCAUUGGGGGCAGGGGCAGUUGUCACAGAAUGGCCUUGGUUCCCGGCCUUUGUCCACACCAUCCCACUGAACAGGAUGGGAAUCUGAGACCAGAAUGGGGACAGAGUGACGGUUCUUAAGAGUGGCCACUGAGUGGAGAGGAGGCCUUGCUGAGGGUGACUUGGGCAACUCACCUGCUCCCUGGUAUGGAGGUAGGGGGGUGGGGGGCAGGUCAGACGGCCCUUGUGUGCUGAGUAGGGAGGUUACCCCCGUAGCAGCAGUUGCUGGAACCAGAGUCAUGGGUGUGAGGACCCUGCCCACGGGAGUUAAUUCAUUAGGGCUGAGGUAAGCCCAGGAGGCUUCAAGUCUGAAGGACCCCCCAGGCGAUUGGAAUCUGCAGCCUGGAUCUGGGAUGAUGGAGAAGAGAGCUUGUUGGGAUCUGUAUUCCAUACUUGGGAGGCUGGGCCACUCACCAGCUGCUAGAAUUUUCUUUCUGGCUGUCCUUGGUGUCUCAGAAACAUGCAAAGGUGGCUGAGGAAGAUCUUUGCUCAUCCUCGAGCCAAAGCUCCUGGGGUGAGCCAGGUGGCCAAGACAUCAGGAGUCAGUGGGUGGCCCCCAGAGAAGGUCGUUUCCCCUCCCCCCCAGAGGAGGAGCUGGAGAGGGCCUCAGUAGGGGUCCUGGGGUCCUGGGGACAGGUCUGUCUUUCGCUUCAUGGCUUUAGCUCUCACUGCCUGCUCUCAAACAACCCCAGGGAAGGUGGUCAGCCCAGGGGAGGCCCCCUCCACUGGGAACAAAUCUGGGGUUGGGGCCAGGCUGAGCCAGGGUGCCCCCUUCUUCAGCAUGACUCUGAGUCAUGGAUUUUCCAGCAUGAGGGUCAGGCAAAGUAAGACCCUCCAGGGCUUCCUGGGGCUCUGGAGCAGGGGCUCCUCUUGUCCUUGGUCCACCUCCAGGAGGGGCCGGAGAGAGAAAACCUGGAACCAAACUCAGUGGGCAGCCCUCCUCUUGCAUGCCGUGCCCAGCUAAGUGCCCUGGAGUCCCGAGCACUCAUCUGCCUGGGCUCCAAAGAGGCCCUGCUGUCCCCUGCCUGCUUCCAGGGGGUGGGCCAGUGAACUCGUAGAGGCAGGCAUCUCGUCCUUUCUUGCAGCUGUGACGGGCCAAGGAAAGAGGGGAUCCAGCCUCCUCCACUGCUCCUCUGCUCCUCUGCUCCCACCUGGCUGUGAAACCUGGGGCGAGUCAUACCUGCCCCUGGCCUUGUCUGUGAGGGACUGGGCUGGUGGCACCUAAAGCCCUUCCAGUUGGGGCCGUCUCUGUUGCACCUGCCCUGGCCUCCCCUCCAGCCCUCCCGAGAAGCAUGCUACCCAGGAUUACGCUUUUGUCCCCGCUUCACCCCAUGCUGUCCGAGCCCUGAAGAGACUUCCUCUGUGUCUAGUCCCAAGAAUAGAGUUCUGUCAAGGACCUCCAAGUCACCCCUUGCUGGAAAGAGAGCAUUCUUGAGUGUGGCCGAGGUCCUGCUUAUCAGCACAGCGAGUCCACUGCCCCAGCCCCUGGGGCUGCUGGAAUGCAGGAGCCUCCCACCCGGACAGGGUCAGCUGCUCACGGCUCCCACAGUAGUCCCUGGAAUGGAGUGCGGGAGGGAGCACUGGUGCUGAGGGCAGGCUGAUCCCAGCCACUGCCUUCCGACAGGGAGUGGCCAGGAGCGAGGCUGCAGACACAGUUUUGUUGCACCCCAGCUGGCCCAGGAUGUGUGUACUGGCAGCCAGUCCUGCCAUCCAGGCCCUGGGCUUGCUCCAAGGCUGCCAGGGUACCGGGAGCUGUGUUCUGCUCAUGCACCAGCCUUCAACAUUUCACCUUGACCAGUGACCCACUGGAUCUUCUCAGGGUCAGGGCUUAGCCCUGGGGGUCUCCACUGUGGUUUGAUCACUCAGAAUGUUUUGGGGCCUGGUGUGAUUCCCUGCUACAGAGCCUACACAGUCAUGUACUCAACCUUUGGCCAGGAUGGGGUGAGUUCAGGGUGCUGCUGAUGGUCCGCACCUGCAGAGUAGAGGCUCAGGCAGACAGCAGAUAGCAUUCUGGCAAUUCCCAGAGUCCUGCAGAUGCUUCAGAUUCUUUGAGAACCACUGAUGCAGCCCAACCCUUCUCUCUUCCAGAUGAGGGGAUGAGACCCAAGGCAGGGUGCAGGGGAGAUGGGCAGUGGCGUGCCUCCACUACACAGCAGUCCAGUGACAAAGCAGUCCUCGAACUCAGGUCCCCGACUCUUUCCACUCCCCUCAGGCACCCACGCAGUCAUUCCUCCACCCACUCGGCCUCUCUGAGCAUCUUCCCUGUGUCAGGCCCCAUUCUAGGCCCCAGGGACUCAGCAGGGAAAAAGAGCAGCCCCUGUUCUCAUGGGGCCACUUUAGAGGAAGUAGAGAGUCAACAAACUAAAUUAUGUUGUAAAAAAUAAACAACAUCAUCUCAAUGGUAAUAAGGGCCAGCAAGACAAGAAAGCCAGGGGAUGAGAGUGAGAGGGAGAGCUGCCUUCCAGGAGGGGCCUGUAGAAGGCAGAGGUGGGAGAACAGAUUUCUGGGCAGGGGAAGAGCAGAUGCAAAGGCCUCAAGCAGGCCAGUGCCAGGUGGGUUGAGGAACAGGAGCAGUGUGGCUGUGGCAUGCUGAGUGAAGUGAGGAGAAGAGGCAGAAAUCUGUAAGGGCUGGACACUGCAGGGCCAUGGAGACCAUGGUCAAGAGUUUGGAUUUUUGGCUGGGCGCGGUGGCUCACACCUGUAAUCCCAGCACUUUGAAAGGCUGAGGCAGGAGGAUCACCUGAGGUCAGGAGUUUGAGACCAGCCUGGCCAACAUGGUGAAACCCUGUCUCUACUAAAAGAAAUACAAAAAAAUUAGCCAGGCGUUGUGGCAUGUGCCUGUAAUCCCAGCUACUCGGGAGGCUGAGGCAUAAGAAGCUCUUGAACCUGGGAGGCGGAGGUUGCAGCGAGCCGAGAUCGCGCUAUUGUACUCCAGCCUGGACAACAAGAGCAAAAACUCCAUCUC